CCUCCGCUCCUCUCCCGUCCCCUCCCUAGCCGCCGCUUCCUCCUCCUCCUCCUCGUUCUCGCCUCGCAUUCUCUUGGCGACAGGGGAAGGCAGAGAGCAAGGGCGGAGGAAAGGCGCGGCUGAGAGGCUGGCCUAGCAACAGGGAGGUGCUUAGGCUUUAUGUGGGACCGCAGAAAGCGCUUCUUUUCGUAGCCGGGUGAUGAUGAAGGUUAUUUUGGUGGAAGGCCCGCUACUAGGCAUCCCCACCCCCUCGCGUGCUGGUUAAGCCUGGGAUCACGAGCGUGGGCAGCAGCAGCAGCCUCGGCGGCUCCUCCUCGGGAAACGGCUCCACGGUUGGUCGGAGUUUGGGUAGGGUAGGCGCGAAGAAAUUGAGGAUGCGCCGUGAUCACCGCGAGAUAGGGAGGUGUGGAAAUGGAUGCUUACCAUUUAGCGAGUGACCAGAAGUUUGACAGGUCACUUUUUCCAGUGCAUCUGGAAACAAGCAAGCUAUGGCCCAGAGAAGCUUAUGUCAAGUAAAACAGGGUAAUCUUUAAGGUGUCAUUCAAAUAAAACUGGGGAUAUCUCUGGACAUGUUGUUGUCUUUCAAAGUCCCCACUAAAGCUUCAAAGAGGUUGGCACAUUUUUCAUCGGCAAACAGCACUCCAAAUUUCACACUCAGAGUCCCAUCAG